rnacentral:lncRNA from 1 species
AUGCACGCUGAGUACGAUCAGCCCCAUCGCCUGCUCCCGAGGGUGGGCAGCCGGAUCGUCUCCCUGCCCACGCGGCUGGCGGGUGCCUCGGGGAGCUCUCCUUCCAUUGCACGGAGGGUAACGGCAGCCAAAUCCCUGGCACCGUUUCCCCUCAGUGCACUUCCCUGCAGAGACCCCGGGGCUGGAGGAGAGGGGAUGGAGACCGUGGGUCCCACAAGAGGUGAAGCAUCACGUUCAGUACGGGAUCACCGUGCACAGCCCUCGGCGUCACUGUCCUCCCGCGCCCGGUGGCCUCCAGGCAGCACCGGGGUGGCCCAGAGCAGCCAGUGGCACCCGCAGAUGUUCCUGGCAGGAGAGCAGCUGCAGCUCCCGCUUCCAACGCUGCUAUCCCGGGUGAGGGAGGCCGGGGCAGCUAGUGUCCGCAGUGGAUGGGAUGUCAGCGCCAGCCCUGCGCGGGCUGCAGCAUCGCGCCAGGCUCAGGGAGCGAGCGGAGGUUUGGUUCGGCCGCUCGGAGCCACGUUACCUCCCAGGCUGUCGCCAGCGGCACAGCCGGGAGGGCACGGAUGGGCGACACGGCAGGACGGCCCAGAGGGCACAGCAGGGCUUGGAGGGCAUGGCAGGGCGGCACAGGACCCGGCAGGAUCGGGGCCCUGCUCGCCUUUCUUCCUUUUUGUGGCACUGUCACCACGAGGUCCAAAUCCACAGGCACACUCGCACGCUCACGCGCAUGUGCACUCACACUCGUAUGCACACACUCAUUUGAACUCAUGCACAUGCUCGCUCACACUCACUCACAAACUUGCACUCAAGUGCACGUGCUUGCACUCGUGCACACCGUCGCUCGCACUCACAUGUGCCGUUGYCCUCGCACUCGUUUGCGCGCGUGCACGUGUGCAGUCACGCACUUGCACUCACGCUCAGGCACGCACACACAUGCGCUCCCGCUCCUUCACUCGCACUCGCGCUCCCACGCUGGCUCGGCAGCAGCGCCGCAGGCAGCCGCCCCGUCCGGUGCCGCUGGCCCGUCCCCGCUCGCAGCGGUGCCCCCACCCCGGGCUGGGGCCAUCGUGCACAAGGGCUGAGUGCUGCUUCGGGGACGCGUGUCCCCUCCCCAAGGUGCCCCGCUGUCCCCGUGCUCCAGCACGCAGCGGGGAGCCGAGGGCCCCGGCCCUGCGGAGAACGAGGUCACGCUGA